CGCCCCUAACUUGCAAGGAACCUCCACCAUGCUUCACUGUUGCCUGCAGACACUCAUUAUUGUAGUGCUCUCCAGCCCUUCGGCCAACAAACUGCCUUCUGCUACAGCCAAAUAUUUCAAAUUUUGACUCAUCAGUCCAGAGCACCUGCUGCCAUUUUUCUGUACCCCAGUUCCUGUGUUUUCGUGCAUAGUUGAGUUGCUUGGCCUUGUUUCCAUGUCGGAG